ACCUUCUUGUAUAAGCACUGUGCUAAAAUUGCAGAAACUAGGAUUGUAUCUUAGUUUUUGUAAUGAUGCUAGCAGAGUACACACAAGAAGAAAAGUAACUGACUGCACUGGAUCCCACAGACAGGGGUGGACCUCUUUCUUAAUGUCCAGUGUCCUUUGUCUUAAGAUUUGGUGCAAUAAGU